ensembl:lncRNA
GACAGCAGCUUAUGUCAGAACAGCAGGAACUGUAUAAGAGGCGCAAAUCUCUGACGAUAGGAAACCCAGGUACUAUUUCCUGCCAGCCUGUUUUUGCCUCAGCAGUCAAUGGAAACGGCUGUGUGUCCACAACGCAAGGACUGCUUUAGCUCCGUUGAUCACACGUAAGAACCCACGGAUUCCCCAGGAUUAUAUUAGUGGAACUCCAGAGGCCUCCCGUCUCCAGUCUGCUCCAGUCCUGCUUUGGGCCAUUUGCUGAGCUAGUCACAAAAGUUGUAUUUACAUAUUCUGUGAAAACAACAACAUAAAGC